rnacentral:misc_RNA from 1 species
GUAGGUGAACCUGCGGAAGGAUCAUUAUUGAAUGAACUUGGUGUGGUUGUUGCUGGUCCUUUCGGGGGCAUGUGCACGCCCACCAUCCUCAUCUCUCCACCUGUGCACCUCUUGUAGACUUGGAUUGACUUUCCGAGGCAACUCGGUCGGGAGGAUUGCUGGCAUCAGCUGGCUUUCUUUGCAUUUCCGGGUCUACGUUUUUCAUAUACCCCAUUGUAUGUAACAGAAUGUCAUAUUGGGCCCUUGUGCCUAUAAACCUUAUACAACUUUCAGCAACGGAUCUCUUGGCUCUC